GAUGAACGCUGGCGGCGUGCCUAAUACAUGCAAGUCGAGUGAACAGACGAGGAGCUUGCUCCUCUGACGUUAGCGGCGGACGGGUGAGUAACACGUGGAUAACCUACCUAUAAGACUGGGAUAACUUCGGGAAACCGGAGCUAAUACCGGAUAAUAUAUUGAACCGCAUGGUUCAAUAGUGAAAGACGGUUUUGCUGUCACUUAUAGAUGGAUCCGCGCCGCAUUAGCUAGUUGGUAAGGUAACGGCUUACCAAGGCAACGAUGCGUAGCCGACCUGAGAGGGUGAUCGGCCACACUGGAACUGAGACACGGUCCAGACUCCUACGGGAGGCAGCAGUAGGGAAUCUUCCGCAAAGGGCGAAAGCUUGACGGAGCAACGCCGCGUGAGUGAUGAAGGUCUUCGGAUCGUAAAACUCUGUUAUUAGGGAAGAACAAAUGUGUAAGUAACUAUGCACGUCUUGACGGUACCUAAUCAGAAAGCCACGGCUAACUACGUG
rnacentral:rRNA from 1 species